UUUGACCUCUUUUAUCAGAUUUCAUCUGUUGUUGCAAUUGCUCUUGGUUCCUUCAUUCGUUGUGUGGGUUUGAUUUGGAGGAAAGGGAUCGAUCUUUCCUUGAGGGGAGAAGAGGGAUUUUGGUCGUUGUGUUCUGUUUUCUUGAAUGCUUUAGACUUAUGAUUCUGCUUCGGUGCUAGACAAAGGACGCCUUACACUGGAUUGUCAAAGCUUGGAGGAACAAACUUUCUUGCUGGGAGAUGAAUCUGUACAUGCAUUUGUCUUCAAGCGUUCAACGUGAACAUCUGAGAAAAUUCAAAUGCUUGGUGUGUCAAUAAUUUGCAACCUUGGGGUUUUUGAUGAAGGAAAUCAGUAUCUUGGGGAAUAUAUCUCAUUGUCUAUUGCUUGCUGCAGGUAGUACAAGCUGCUAGGGCAAAGUUUUGUAUGUGUCUCCAAUUAGAUAAGCAAAUUUACAUAUGUGUAUGUGCGGGGGUAUGUGCGCUGGAAACAUUGGCUUUAUUGAUGUGAUAGAGGCAAUUUUGUCAACAUCAGUAGUUCCUAGGACAUCAAGAAUUUGAAAUUCCAUAUAUGGCUGCAAGGUGAAAGGUGCUUAUUAGGUAGGAAAGGUACGGGGUUUUAUACCAGUAAACUUGGUUGGGAGUAUGGCUUUUUUGCCAAUAUGCAUGUAUAGAAUCCCUGGCUUGGCACUACUAUUCAUGGCUGUCCUGCCAGAUUCCAUUUAUUUUUUUUCUUCAGGGAUGAACUUGAAAAGUCCAAAUUUGCCAAACCUAUUGGUUUGAAAAAAAUUGUUGGACUCAAAUGCACAGAUUGGGAUUUAUAAGGAUCUAAAACCAACAGUUUUAUAUUGGUUUUAAAUUUAUCCAUCUGUUGGCCAUAAAAUCCAGUCCGUGCAUUGAAUUUUGAUGGUUUUUUUUUAGAUCUACAGAUUUGAGCCUUCAAAGUUCAUUGGAGAAGUCAGAUUUUAGGAAUUAGCUGAAUGGCCAAAAACAGUCGGGUGCUGAAUUCAGUUGUAUAUAUAUGGCCUGGAAAUUCAUGUUUUCACUUUAAUACUGUAGAUGUGCUUAACGUUAUAGGUUUGGUAGGAUCAACCACUAAAGCGUUUCUUCGAAAAACAAUGUCUUUUUUGAACAUCUAAUCUGUUGUCCUCUUGACGACUGAUUUUGAAUUACCAGAAAAAGCCUUCUUACAUGUUGGAAUCUAAUGAUCAAAUGCUGAUCCAUAUUAAACAGAGAAAAGCAUUUAUAGUUGUUAUAAAUUAAACCAUGUCGGGUCAUGGAAAAUAUGUCUGGUGAAAAGUUGAUUGAACCAUAUGGUAACAUGGGAAGAUCUUUGAUUUCUAACGUUGUUGAUUGGAGAUCUUCUUUGUUUUGUUUAGACAUAGUAGCUUAGCCUUUCCUUGAUCUUGUGGCAUGCCAAUUACAUCUUUGAUGGUUUCCAGAGGAUUUUACUGUCUAAACUGGGUUCUUACAGCUCGUUUAGCAGCUCUAGUUCUAGAGUUGCACUGCCUUUUGGAGUUACAAAGAAUCUGAUAUCCUAUUUUAUUGUAUCGUGGAGAAGUUGGAUGAUUCUUGGAUGGACAACUUGACCCGUAAUCUUAAUUUUGUUUUGUUAAUGUACUGGUAUUUCUGGGUUAUGUUUCGAGUCUUUUGACCUAUUGACUAAGGACUUGUGUUUUUUUUUUUUGCUAUGUUAUGCACAUAAUUCUGGAGACUGGGCAUCCUUUGAGCUCUCCAAUUUUUGAAUCUCAAUAAGCGUUUUCUGAUGUGAUGUAGUUUGAUAUUUUAGUUAUCCAUUUUAUGAAUUUCGAUCAGCUCUUUCUGAUGUUAUGUGAUGACUCAGUCUUCCAUCUCCGUCUUUUUAUAUUUGUGUUUCUUGGUUCAGUUUCACCCAGGGAAAAACGUUGGAAUUGGCAAGGACCAUACGCUAUUUUCCUUGAUCGAUGGACUGGUCAAGUUUGAGAAAUUUGGACCAGACAGGAAAAAGGUGAGUGUUUACCCACGUGUUGUUCAACCUGAAAACCCAAAUAGCUACAAGGCAAGAAGAAGGGAGUAUUUCCGACUCCAACGGGAGCGUCUCAAAGCAAAAAAGGAAGGCAUUUUAUCUCCUCAGUUAGUUUUAGCUUCAAAAGAGGAGGUCCCAGAAGAUGCAGCUUCUUGUUAAUAAUUUGAACUUGAUUUUGCCGUAGAGGUAAAGUGCCAUCUUGUUAGUGCGUUUGAUUUGUUGUUUGUUUUACAAAUCUAAGGAGGCCAAUUAAUGGAAAAGUUGCUCUUUCUUGAUUA